GGUGACACGGAGCUUGCUCUGUGGGAUCAGUGGCGAACGGGUGAGUAACACGUGAGCAACCUGCCCCUGACUCUGGGAUAAGCGCUGGAAACGGCGUCUAAUACUGGAUAUGUGACGUGACCGCAUGGUCUGCGUCUGGAAAGAAUUUCGGUUGGGGAUGGGCUCGCGGCCUAUCAGCUUGUUGGUGAGGUAAUGGCUCACCAAGGCGUCGACGGGUAGCCGGCCUGAGAGGGUGACCGGCCACACUGGGACUGAGACACGGCCCAGACUCCUACGGGAGGCAGCAGUGGGGAAUAUUGCACAAUGGGCGCAAGCCUGAUGCAGCAACGCCGCGUGAGGGACGACGGCCUUCGGGUUGUAAACCUCUUUUAGCAGGGAAGAAGCGAAAGUGACGGUACCUGCAGAAAAAGCGCCGGCUAACUACGUGCCAGCAGCCGCGGUAAUACGUAGGGCGCAAGCGUUAUCCGGAAUUAUUGGGCGUAAAGAGCUCGUAGGCGGUUUGUCGCGUCUGCUGUGAAAUCCGGAGGCUCAACCUCCGGCCUGCAGUGGGUACGGGCAGACUAGAGUGCGGUAGGGGAGAUUGGAAUUCCUGGUGUAGCG
rnacentral:rRNA from 1 species